UGCACCAAUUUUAAUGCAACCGGACCAGACUCGUCAGUUCAUUGUGGAGGUAGAUGCCUCUGACUCUGGAGUUGGGGCGGUGCUAUCUCAACGGUAAAGCUCUAAUGACAAGCUCCACCCCUGUGCCUUCUAUUCUUGUCGUUUAUCGCAGACCGAAAGGAAUUACGACGUAGGGAAUCGGGAGCUUUUGGCCAUCAAAUUGGCACUAGAAGAGAGGAGGCACUGGCUUGAAGGAGCUGAACAGCAAUUUAUUGUCUGGACUGAUCAUAAGAAUCUCUUACAUUCAAACUGCCAAAAGACUCAAUUCACACUAAGCAAGCUUUGUUGCAGCCGUUACUUGGGAGAUUGAAGCAGAGGUUAAGGAGGCUCGACGCACGGAACUUAAUCCAGUAUGUCCUUGCCUGCUCCGUCUGCGCCCGAGGCAAGUCUUCACACCGUCCACCCUCAGGACUUCUUCAGCCGCUCCCCGUACCUUCUCGACCAUGGUCUCAUAUUUCUAUGGACUUUGUCACAGGACUGCCCCUGUCCCAAGGUAACACAGCAAUACUUACCAUAAUUGACUGUUUUUCCAGGGCCUGUCAUUUUGUGGCUCUACCCAAGCUGCCGACAGCUUUGGAAACUGCAAAUCUCCUUGUAAAUCAUGUCUUUCGUCUACAUGGACUACCUAUGGACAUUGUCUCAGACCGUGGACCUCAGU